CCUACGGGAGGCAGCAGUGGGGAAUAUUGCGCAAUGGGCGAAAGCCUGACGCAGCGACGCCGCGUGAGGGAUGAAGGUCUUCGGAUCGUAAACCUCUGUCAGCAGGGAAGAACGGUCACUGUGCUAAUCAGCAGUGAAUUGACGGUACCUGCAAAGGAAGCACCGGCUAACGCCGUGCCAGCAGCCGCGGUAAUACGGAGGGUGCGAGCGUUAAUCGGAAUUACUGGGCGUAAAGCGCUCGUAGGCGGUAUGUCAAGUCAAUGGUGAAAUCCCCGCGCUCAACGUGGGAACUGCCUUUGAAACUGGCAAACUGGGGUGUGUGAGAGGAUAGUGGAAUUCCAGGUGUAGGAGUGAAAUCCGUAGAUAUCUGGAGGAACAUCAGUGGCGAAGGCGACUAUCUGGCACAUAACUGACGCUGAGGAGCGAAAGCGUGGGUAGCAAACAGGAUUAGAUACCCUAGUAGUC
rnacentral:rRNA from 1 species